UCUGAUGCAGCGACGCCGCGUGAGCGACGAUGGCUUUCGAGUUCUUAAGCUCUGUCCUAAGAGAAGAAGAAGUGACGGUCACUUAUGAGGAAGCCCCGGCUAACUACAUGCCAGCAGCCGCGGUAAUA
rnacentral:rRNA from 1 species